rnacentral:lncRNA from 1 species
CACUUUUGAUUAUUAGAAUUAACAAAUACAAUGGAUCCACCCACUUCCCAUACAAUCUGAUCCCAGUGUACACACACUAACUAACAUUCACUAACUAACUAUAGCUAGGGUAACUAAUAGACAUUCAUAUUUUUCUCUUUUGGUGGCGGUUGCUGCUGACUUCUCUUAGCUAAUGAGGUUUUACUAUCUUUAAUACUCUCGUCU